GGCGAGGUAGCCAAGCGGUCUAAGGCGCUAGACUAAGGUGAAAUCUAGUUCUUCGGAGCGUGGGUUCGAAUCCCACCCUCGUCA
rnacentral:tRNA from 1 species